rnacentral:rRNA from 1 species
AGGUGAUCAUGGCUCAGGAUGAACGCUAGCGGCAGGCCUAAUACAUGCAAGUCGAACGGUAACAUUGGUGCUUGCACCAGAUGACGAGUGGCGCACGGGUGCGUAACGCGUAUGCAACCUACCUUUUACUAGAGUAUAGCCCAGAGAAAUUUGGAUUAAUCCUCUAUAACAUCUUUAAGUUUCAUAAUUUUUAGAUUAAAGUUUUAAUGGUAAAAGAUGGGCAUGCGUCCUAUUAGUUUGUAGGUGAGGUAACGGCUCACCUAGACUACGAUAGGUAGGGGCCCUGAGAGGGGGAUCCCCCACACUGGUACUGAGACACGGACCAGACUCCUACGGGAGGCAGCAGUAAGGAAUAUUGGACAAUGGACGAAAGUCUGAUCCAGCCAUGCCGCGUGCAGGAUGAAAGCCCUAUGGGUUGUAAACUGCUUUUAUACAGGAAGAAACACUCCGACGUGUCGGAGCUUGACGGUACUGUAAGAAUAAGGAUCGGCUAACUCCGUGCCAGCAGCCGCGGUAAUACGGAGGAUCCAAGCGUUAUCCGGAAUCAUUGGGUUUAAAGGGUCCGCAGGCGGUCUUUUAAGUCAGAGGUGAAAGCCUACAGCUCAACUGUAGAACGGCCUUUGAUACUGAAAGACUUGAGUUAUUGUGAAGUGAUUAGAAUGUGUGGUGUAGCG